UUAACAAUUAUGGCAGAACAAACUAAAUGUCAAAACCACUUCAUAUUAAUAUCACAUGUUACAGUGAGGCAAACCAACAACUUAGCAAUUUCAAAUUUAAAAACUAACAGCAUGUCAUAUAAGCGUAACAAUUCAGUAGUCCCUAGUUACAGUCCAUGUGCAUCUACCAUGUAUAUAUUACAACACAAAUGGCUAAUAUCAACUAUGUCUAAUUAACUAUUAUCUAUUUAGUGACAAACAUCAGAAGACAUCCAAACAUAUAUAAAGCUGGCAAACUCUUUUCAUUUCAACUUCAAUUUCCAUCUAGAUUGAUGGACUCAAGGGAAGAUACCUGAAAUUGAACAGAAAUAAGGAGGAAGGUCAGUAGCAGCAACAGCCAAUCACAAACAGCCCAAAAAAAGUUCAGAAGAGGUCAGAAUCAGGAGAACCAAUCGUAAACCACUUAAAACCACCCAAAUAAACUCAAAAUUGAACUCAGGCAAUCCAGAACACCUUCAGCAACAGAAACAACUAUACAACAACUCAAAUAGACCUCAUCCUGACUCCAAAGACCAAAUCAAGUAGUUUCAUAACUUCAAUUACUAAUUACUGAACUAGAAUGGCAAACUGGCAGCCAACCUCGAAUUUGAAUUGCAAAAUUCCAGUGGAACAGUACUGUUUUUCGUUUUUUUAUUUUUGUUUAAUUUGAAAACUACUGUAGAUCUAGAAAAAUUAGAAUGGCGAGAGCUUUUUGAGCUAAUAAUGUCUGGGAAAAAAAAGCUCUUAGCAAGGCUGUUUUGAUCCUUUUUAUAGGUGAAUUCAGGUCUUUGAAUUACCUCUUAGGUCCCUAUUCAAUUUCACUUUCAAUUCCUAAACUUCCUAACUGAUUUUGCAAGCUAGCACCCUCUUUAUUGAUAUUCCAUUAAGACCCUUU
rnacentral:lncRNA from 1 species